rnacentral:rRNA from 1 species
UGGGGAAUAUUGGACAAUGGGCGCAAGCCUGAUCCAGCAAUACCGCGUGUGUGAAGAAGGCCUUAGGGUUGUAAAGCACUUUCAGCGAGGAGGAAGGCGUUGUAGUUAAUAGCUGCAACGAUUGACGUUACUCGCAGAAGAAGCACCGGCUAACUCCGUG